GGCUUCGUAAUCGAGUGGUAAGGACACUUGCGUCCCACCCUAGAGUCCCGGGUUCGAGCCCCGGUCGAGGAGCUA